AUCAUUUUGUGGCUGAUAUGUGUGAUGAGGGGGUUUUCACACUCUUAUGUGGGAUGGGAAACGUCUUUAGAACAGUGGCACUUUACCUGUCUUAUA
rnacentral:snoRNA from 5 species